rnacentral:rRNA from 1 species
UACAGAGGUCCCAAGCGUUGUUCGGAUUCACUGGGCGUAAAGGGUGCGUAGGUGGCCAGGUAAGUCUGAUGUGAAAUCUCGAAGCUCAACUUCGAAACUGCAUUGGAUACUAUCUGGCUCGAGGAUCGGAGGGGAGACUGGAAUUCUUGGUGUAGCAGUGAAAUGCGUAGAUAUCAAGAGGAACACCAGUGGCGAAGGCGAGUCUCUGGACGAUUCCUGACACUGAGGCACGAAAGCUAGGGGAGCAAACAGG